rnacentral:rRNA from 2 species
GCUCAGGAUGAACGCUGGCGGCGUGCCUAAUACAUGCAAGUCGAACGAGUUCUCGUUGAUGAUCGGUGCUUGCACCGAGAUUCAACAUGGAACGAGUGGCGGACGGGUGAGUAACACGUGGGUAACCUGCCCUUAAGUGGGGGAUAACAUUUGGAAACAGAUGCUAAUACCGCAUAGAUCCAAGAACCGCAUGGUUCUUGGCUGAAAGAUGGCGUAAGCUAUCGCUUUUGGAUGGACCCGCGGCGUAUUAGCUAGUUGGUGAGGUAAUGGCUCACCAAGGCGAUGAUACGUAGCCGAACUGAGAGGUUGAUCGGCCACAUUGGGACUGAGACACGGCCCAAACUCCUACGGGAGGCAGCAGUAGGGAAUCUUCCACAAUGGACGCAAGUCUGAUGGAGCAACGCCGCGUGAGUGAAGAAGGCUUUCGGGUCGUAAAACUCUGUUGUUGGAGAAGAAUGGUCGGCAGAGUAACUGUUGUCGGCGUGACGGUAUCCAACCAGAAAGCCACGGCUAACUACGUGCCAGCAGCCGCGGUAAUACGUAGGUGGCAAGCGUUAUCCGGAUUUAUUGGGCGUAAAGCGAGCGCAGGCGGUUUUUUAAGUCUGAUGUGAAAGCCCUCGGCUUAACCGAUAGAAG